rnacentral:rRNA from 1 species
AGUUCGGUCCCUAUCUGUUGUGGGCGUUGGAGAUUUGAGGGGUCCUGACCCUAGUACGAGAGGACCGGGUUGGACGGACCGCCGGUGCACCUGUUGUGGCGCCAGCCGCACCGCAGGGUAGCCGUGUCCGGCCGGGAUAAGCGCUGAAGGCAUCUAAGUGCGAAACCCUCCCCAAGAUGAGAUCUCCUUGAAGGGUCGUCAGAGACGAUGACGUCGAUAGGCCGCAGGUGUAAAGGCGGGAACGCCAAAGCCGAGCGGUACUAAUCACCCGAAGGCUUCCGCGU